rnacentral:rRNA from 1 species
GACGAACGCUGGCGGCGUGCUUAACACAUGCAAGUCGAGCGGUAAGGCCCUUUCGGGGGUACACGAGCGGCGAACGGGUGAGUAACACGUGGGUGACCUGCCCUCAGCUCUGGGAUAAGCCUGGGAAACCGGGUCUAAUACUGGAUAUGACUCCAUGACGCAUGUUGUGGGGUGGAAAGCCUUGUGCGGCUGAGGAUGGGCCCGCGGCCUAUCAGCUUGUUGGUGGGGUGAGGCCUACCAAGGCGACGACGGGUAGCCGGCCUGAGAGGGCGACCGGCCACACUGGGACUUGAGACACGGCCCAGACUCCUACGGGAGGCAGCAGUGGGGAAUCUUGCGCAAUGGGCGAAAGCCUGACGCAGCGACGCCGCGUGAGGGAUGACGGCCUCGGUU